GAUGAACGCUGGCGGCGUGCCUAAUACAUGCAAGUAGAACGCUGAAGGAAGGAGCUUGCUCUUUCCGGAUGAGUUGCGAACGGGUGAGUAACGCGUAGGUAACCUGCCUGGUAGCGGGGGAUAACUAUUGGAAACGAUAGCUAAUACCGCAUAACAGUAGAUGCUGCAUGAUAUCUACUUAAAAGGUGCAAUUGCACCACUACCAGAUGGACCUGCGUUGUAUUAGCUAGUUGGUGAGGUAACGGCUCACCAAGGCGACGAUACAUAGCCGACCUGAGAGGGUGAUCGGCCACACUGGGACUGAGACACGGCCCAGACUCCUACGGGAGGCAGCAGUAGGGAAUCUUCGGCAAUGGACGGAAGUCUGACCGAGCAACGCCGCGUGAGUGAAGAAGGUUUUCGGAUCGUAAAGCUCUGUUGUAAGAGAAGAACGAGUGUGAGAGUGGAAAGUUCACACUGUGACGGUAGCUUACCAGAAAGGGACGGCUAACUACGUG
rnacentral:rRNA from 1 species